rnacentral:lncRNA from 10 species
AACAGUAUCUUCUGGCAGCCACCACGGGACUGGGUUCUGAUGUUCCCAGCUCAAGGCCAGAAAGAAUCACUGGAUCAGAAUGAAGCGUGCAGUUGGAAGAGAUCUUAAAGGCCCUCUAGUCCAAUGCACCAACACGCUGUCCUGUUAAAGUGUGUCAAAUUGUGCCCUGGAGCAUAGCCGCCUCCAGGUGAAGGGUGAGCACUACCAUAUCGGCAGCCCUGUUGAGGACAUUGGCUCUGGGUUAUGCUAAACCACAUGGGCCCACUAUCCACUCACCUGCGGCAGGGGCCGUGUUGUAUUUCAAUGGCACAGAGAACCCAGGGAUGCCCUCAUCCUGCCCAGCCUUGUUGUGAUCCUCCUCUCACAACAAGUUCCCGGGGGAGCCAGGCCAAGGAGCUCAUGAGAGGAAAUGGGAGUCAAAGUCCCGCUGCUGUCCCCAGCUGCACCCACACCAGGGAUGUCACCGAGCUCUGAGAACAGUUCCUAGACUAACUGGUAUUGAUCGUAAUGAAUCUUUGUGCUACACAUGGUGCAAGGCCCUGGGAUGAGCAAAACUGGGAGCAACCAGUAAGAGAGAAGGACAUGUUCAGAGGGUCUGGGAAGUGGGAAAAUGAGGUGUGAAGAGUGUAGCUAAAAGGUGGCCCCAGCAGGCCUCUGAGGGAAACCAAGCC